AGACAGAGGAAAAGAUAGCCUUGCCCGACCAAGCCACAAAUGAACAAGCAAAGAAAGCGGCGCAAGAAAAAGCAGGAAAAUGAGACGCCUUUCUGAUCUGUCCUGUACAUUCCACAAGCAUUGCCUUCUAGCUAUAUCUUUGUAAAAAAAAAGGGGAAAAAAAUCCUUUCUUGGAUGCAGUAUGAUCGGAUUGAAUGAACUGGCUGGCUCGUUCCUUACCCCAUUACCCCUAUCACUGUCCCCCCACUUUUCCUUCCUGGCCUUUCAAAAACAAAAUUAUGAAUUGGA